UUUAACAUGAAUUGAGUUAUGUGUUUCUUGUUAAAUGGAUCAAAUUUCAACAAAGCCCGGGAAACAUCUUGAAAAUCACAUGAAUGCAAUUUCCAAAGAAAACAAUCCAAGAAUUACUGCCAAAAAGUUUUAUUUCCACUAGGAAGGAAAAGAAGAGUUUCAUUUUGCCCCCCACACAGACUGUAUGUUCAAUCUGUGGUCUGCAGUGGAAAAUUCUCCUGAUUUUGCUCAAUUCAGGGGAGGAGAGAAAUGAAGGAGGCUAUUGUUAUUUGAGUGAGUGAUAAAACUGUCUUUCUUUCUCUAGUAUUAAUAUGUUAUUAGCAUUUUCAAUUUGAUUCUACAAAUAUUGAGUUUUACUGGUGUGUGUGGUACAAUGGGAAGCAGGACAAAAAGCUUAACACGCGAUGACUGUCUCAUGGGCUUUACAAAUUAGACCUACAAGUAGGGCACUGCCAGCCCACACGGAGUCCUUGUGUAAAUUAGAAAAAGAUGACCCUUCCAGGCAGAUGCAGCCUUGUGGGUAACCAGUGAGCAACCAAGGGACAUUUGUGCAAAUUAGAAAAAGCACCUUCUUCCUCUGGUGGGCACAAUCUUGCACCAGAGUGAACAUCUUGAUUUUAUCCUCCCUCCCUGUUGACAAGGUGCUUUUAUGCAGGAUACAACUUGCCCAUGUGACUGCAACAGGACAUAUAAAGGGAUCAUCUGAGAAUUACUCAUGGUCAAAAUGGAAACAAUGCAACCACCAUUCUCAAACUUCAGUGAGUAGAAGAAUCAUGGCAGCUUGCUAAAAUGCCCGAGUCUCAUCUCAGAUAUUCUGAUUCAGGAUGACUGAGGUUACCACCUCAUUGGUUGCUGCAUAUCUGCAUAACCACACUGAAGCAUCCAGGCGCUUUCUGUGUGAAAGGCAGUUGAGAGAAGUUGGGGCUUGGCAUCUGAGCAGAACCUUGACUCUCUUCAAAAGGGGGCUGACACACUGGAGAAACCCUGGAGACCAACAGCUGGCUUGCACAAAACUCGGACCUCAUUGCUCUUCAAAUAUUUAUGAAUAAUUUUCUUCAACGUGUUUGCUAACUGUUAAGAAUAUUAGUUUUUGCUGGUCUUCUUACUCAUGGCCCAUCUGAAGUCCCCUGGCCUGACCCUCCUGUGAAGUCAUCCCGCUGAACGGGCGCCACCGGGUCGGGGCAUUGCCAUAGUGUCAGCCCACGGGGCCAUAAACACAGGCUUUGCUGGAUCCCUGCCCCUUCAACUGGGGGAGGCUGGGUGGUAAGAUGAGAAGGCGCCUUCCUUCCAGCCCAUUUUCUCCAAAGCAGCAAGUUUCGAGAACGUCACAUUUGAUACAUGGCAUAGAAGAGGAAUAUCCUCAAACACAACUUUCGGGUGAUUAUCUCCUAUCCUAAGUGCCAUCUGUAUGGUAUUAUGCUUAUGUGACUGCAUGAAUGUAUAUAUGGACACACACACAUAUACACAUUUUUAAGUUUUCAAGCAAAAUGAGUAUUAGUAAGUAUGAGAAACCUGGCCCAAGUCCCCAUGAGUCUCCUCCCUCUGACUUAUUCCAAGUGACUCCUGCUAAACUCUUUUCCCCCCAUCCCAGUGAGCUUCCCUAAAUGGCUUUCAUCAGUCAUGCCAAAUGGUACACUUGGCUUUGCACAGAGCACAAAUGAGGAUGCACGAAGCCCCUAAAGCUCAUUUUCCAUGCCCAUCUCAAACAGGAAGUGAUCCUAGAUCUCCAAGGGUAAGUGAGCAGUACACAAAUUCACUGUCCCUUUAGCCCUCCUAGGUGGAGGCCCUUUGAGAUUCUUAUGAUUUCUUAAUGGUCUAAUAUAAAGUGUAUCCAUGCACAAGAUACAUCGCCUGAUGUAAGAAUCCAUAACUGCGUCCUGUUAACAGUUCCUGCUGUUUGUGGAGUAUUGUCUUGACAUACUCGUUAAACCUCAAUAAAUAUGUUUUUAAUA
rnacentral:lncRNA from 1 species